rnacentral:rRNA from 1 species
UACGAGGGGGGCUAGCGUUGCUCGGAAUUACUGGCGUAAAGCGCACGUAGGCGGAUUGUUAAGUCGGGGGUGAAAUCCUGGAGCUCAACUCCAGAACUGCCUUCGAUACUGGCGAUCUAGAGUCCGGGAGAGGUGAGUGGAACUGCGAGUGUAGAGGUGAAAUUCGUAGAUAUUCGCAAGAACACCAGUGGCGAAGGCGGCUCACUGGCCCGGUACUGACGCUGAGGUGCGAAAGCGUGGGAGCAAACAGG